AUACGGAGGGUGCAAACGUUGUUCGGAAUCACUGGGCGUAAAGGGCGCACAGGCGGUUUGAUUAGUCAGAUGUGAAAGCCCACGGCUUAACCGUGGAAGUGCAUUUGAAACUGUCAGACUUGAGUACUAGAGGGGAAAGUGGAAUUCCCGGUGUAGAGGUGAAAUUCGUAGAUAUCGGGAGGAAUACCGGUGGCGAAGGCGACUUUCUGGCUAGAUACUGACGCUGAGGCGCGAAAGCGUGGGGAGCAAACAGGAUUAGAAACCCCAGUAGUCC
rnacentral:rRNA from 1 species